rnacentral:rRNA from 1 species
AAUGGGCGCAAGCCUGAUCCAGCCAUUCCGCGUGCAGGAUGAAGGCCUUCGGGUUGUAAACUGCUUUUGUACGGAACGAAACGGUUCUCUCUAAUACAGGGGGCUAAUGACGGUACCGUAAGAAUAAGCACCGGCUAACUACGUGCCAGCAGCCGCGGUAAUACGUAGGGUGCAAGCGUUAAUCGGAAUUACUGGGCGUAAAGCGUGCGCAGGCGGUUUUGUAAGACAGAGGUGAAAUCCCCGGGCUCAACCUGGGAAUGGCGCUUGUGACUGCACGGCUAGAGUACGGCAGAGGGGGGUGGAAUUCCACGUGUAGCAGUGAAAUGCGUAGAGAUGUGGAGGAACACCGAUGGCGAAGGCAGCCCCCUGGGCCGAUACUGACGCUCAUGCACGAAAGCGUGGGGAGCAAA